rnacentral:sRNA from 1 species
UCAGGGUGCAGUGGUGCCCACCUGUAAUCCCAGGAGCUCAGGAGGCUGAGACAGGAGGAUCUCAAGUUCAAGGCCAGCCUUGGCAACUUAGUGAGGCUCUAACAACACAGAGAGACCCUGUCUCUC